rnacentral:tRNA from 1 species
GAGGUAUUAGUAUAAUUAGUAUAAUUUAUUUUCAAUAAAUGGGUUUAUUAUCUUG